GGUCUCGUGGUGUAAUGGAUAACACGACGCCCUCCGAAGGCGUAAAUACUGGUUCGAUUCCAGUCGAGACUACCA
rnacentral:tRNA from 1 species